GGGCCCGUAUCCCAGCUGGCAAGAGGAUGCCGGUUUAGAUCCGGUAUGUCGUGGGUUCGAGUCCCACCGGGCCCACCC
rnacentral:tRNA from 1 species